GGACAGGGAGGGAGGUUGAACCUCAAGUCCUACAGACUUGUGAACUUCAGAUCUUGAGCUACAGAACUCGAUAAUUCAAGAACUCUAGAACUCAUGAAUCACUAUGAUGUAUCUUGGGCUGUGAUAAUCCCAUCGCCAUGGUGACGGAGGCCAAGAGGAUUGCAGUGCUGGCCACUACCACAGCGCCUCCCGACCUGUACACCACGCGGCCAUUGAGGGGCUGCACCGGCCGGAAUGUGCCCACCAUAGGCUUGCCAUCCUUAAACUGGAGGUCUGAGAACACCCGCAGCUCGAAGAUGGAAAGAACGCACAGGCACAAAGGUCACUGAGAUGCAGCUGAUAUUAAAAGUAACAAUAAGUAUCAUAUAAAAUGAA